rnacentral:rRNA from 1 species
AGAUUGAACGCUGGCGGCAUGCCUUGCACAUGCAAGUCGAACGGCAGCACGGGAGCAAUCCUGGUGGCGAGUGGCGAACGGGUGAGUAAUAUAUCGGAACGUGCCCAGUCGUGGGGGAUAACGUAGAGAAAUUUACGCUAAUACCGCAUACGAUCCAAGGAUAGGAAAGCGGGGGACCUAAGGCCUCGCGCGACUGGAGCGGCUGGAUAUCAGUAGUUAGCUUGUUGGUGUAGGUAAA